GAAGAGAAUUCACAUGACACACUCUGAUUUGUGACGCUAUUUUGUUUGAGUAUGAGAAACUGCGGCACCAUGCUCGAAUUUAGCUAGGUGAUUUCACUUUACUAAAGGUGUAAUUCUUCGGAAGUUUCUAUGUGUUUAUGUGAUCUGCCAACCACAUGUUUGUGAAAAUUCCCAAUACGCGGCUGCUCCAAAAUUUCCACAAUCUCACCACCAUCCUUCUUCCUGUAGUCAAUCUUGAUCUCAAUGGCCAUUUCAAAAUCUUUGACGAGCUGGAACGCAUUGACCUGCUGCUCUGCAAACAGCGGCCAUGCUGCCAUAGGCACUCCACACCACACACUUUCCAGAGUCGAGUUCCACCCGCAGUGUGACACAAAUCCUCCCACGGCAGGGUGAGACAGCACAGCCAUCUGGGGUGCCCACCCGAUCACCUUCCCGAUUCCAUUAGUAUUUCUGAGGAACCCUUCGGGCAAUGCUUGUUCAGGGUCUUCAUAUUCCCCUGGAAACUCAACUGUUUCUUUAGUUGGUGGCUUUCUCAACGACCACAGAAACCGGACACCACUAUUCUCCAGCGCAGUAGCAAUUUCCUUCACCUGAUCGCCAUGGAAACUUCCACGGGUGCCAAAGCAGAGAAACACGACUGAUGAAUGGGGUUGUUUGUCCAGCCACGCGAUGAUCUCCUCGCGCUUCCUCUUGUUCUCACCAGUUUCUUCGCUGCCCCCUUGGAUCACCGGCCCUACUGGAUAAACUGGUGGGAUUCUGGCACAAGCAGAGAGCGAGCUAAUUGCGUGGUGCUUGAAUUCAAGAAAGGUACUGGAUUAACAUAAGUUGGGAUGGAGAUCUUCUCAUCUAAAUCCUCAUACUCUUUCAUGUUUUUGCCAUGAUCGUGUCUCAAGCUUUGGAGAUGCAGCAAAAGCCCAAGAGCAGCCGAUCCACU